GCCGCGAACCUGCCCCCGGAGCCUGGGAGUGAGGGGUGGGAAGGAGGGAAGGCUGCGCGUGGGCAGUCUGGCCCGAAACUCCCCGCAAGCUUUCCUCCGCGACUGGAGGCAAAAGGGGGCGUGUAGAAAAUCUCAUCGAACAGGGACUUCCACAGCGGGCUCCCCGCCGGCCGAAGAGCCCCCUCCCCAAAAUGAGGAGCCUCCACAGAAAUGCCUUCUCCGUAAAAUCGGGGAAUCCUUCCCGCUCUGGGUGACUGGAUGCUGAGAAAGAAAGUUCUUCGGUGUGUAAGCUCCAGGCUUUGUUC